AUUGAACGCUGGCGGCAGGCUUAACACAUGCAAGUCGAGCGAGCGGCGGACGGGUGAGUAAUGUCUGGGAAACUGCCUGAUGGAGGGGGAUAACUACUGGAAACGGUAGCUAAUACCGCAUACCAUCAGAUGUGCCCAGAUGGGAUUAGCUGGUAGGUGGGGUAAUGGCUCACCUAGGCGACGAUCCCUAGCUGGUCUGAGAGGAGGACCGGCCACACGGGAACUGAGCAACGGGCCAGACGCCUACGGGAGGCAGCAGUGGGGAAUAUUGGACAAUGGGGUCAAGCCUGAGGCAGCCAGGCGGCGUGUGUGAAGAAGGCCUUCGGGUUGUAAAGCACUUUCAGCGAGGAGGCGUUACUCGCAGAAGAAGCACCGGCUAACUCCGUGCCAGCAGCCGCGGUAAUAC
rnacentral:rRNA from 1 species